CCAAUUUGCACAAUUCUUUGCACUGGUAGAAAUUGGAAGCGACAUAAGCAAGUUUGAUAAUUCCACGCCAUGUCGAAAACACUGUUUGUCGCUAUCACCGUCACGAUCACAAUCUUCGCCAUUGGAAUGACUCUGGCCGAACGGGAGGAAUGCAAAUGUGACAUCGAUUUCGACAAGUAUAUGGAAACGAAACUGUUUUGCGGUCAAGAUGUUCGUGGAUGUAAGAGCGAUAUGCUGUAUGCCUGCAACACCGAGGGGGUUGUGAACAUAAGGGAAAAUUGUACCAAGGAAAAUCUAAUAUGCGUCACAAGCUGCACGACAGGGAAAUAUUGCGUCGGAAAGUGUCAGCAGAAGUGAUCAUCUGCAGAAUAAAAAUGGAAUAAUUGUAGCAAUUUGAGAUAUUAAAUUUGGAGAAUUGAGAGUAAAAAAUAUGUAAUGUGAGAGUCAUUUAUUUUAAAAUCACAUUUUCAUGUUAUGCUCAUCAAUGAUGCAGCAUCUUUGAUAAUCGGAUCAGGAUCACCAAUAUCAAUGCGUCGUUCAACGCCGUUCUACUGAUUUAUAAUAGGUUGCCUUUUUUUAUUAAGCAAAAGAAAAGAUACAUCAAGUAGAUGAAAGGCAUUUUUUAAUCCCAAAAAAUUUUGCUGCGCAUGCCCCGUCUGUGUCAAAUUUAGAUUUGCAAAAACAAAAUCCGCUGUUUUAGUCUAGAAAAUCUGGCGACAAUUAAAAAUUUCCAACAGUCGAAUAUACGUAAUUUGCGCAGUCAUGCUUACAAGGUGUUACGUAUAUAUGAUUAUACAUAAAUAAGUGGUACACAGUGAGAGGAGACAGGAGAGUAUUUAUUAGUAGAGAGUUAAAGAUGGAGUGAUGUACAGAUUCAUAACUAAUUACAUAUACAUAUCUACGUAGGCAUACAUAUACCUAACACUACCCUCUCACGAAAAAAUU